UACGAAGGGGGCUAGCGUUGCUCGGAAUCACUGGGCGUAAAGCGCACGUAGGCGGGUCUUUAAGUCUGGUGUCUAAGUGCGGGGCUCAACCCCGUGAUGCACUGGAAACUGGGGAACUUGAGUGCAGAAGAGGAGAGCGGAAUUCCACGUGUAGCGGUGAAAUGCGUAGAGAUGUGGAGGAACACCGAUGGCGAAGGCAGCCCCCUGGGCUGAGAUUGACGCUCAGGCACGAAAGCGUGGGGAGCAAACAGG
rnacentral:rRNA from 1 species